GUGGCUUCACGGAAAGCAAAUUUCAAAAUCAGCCUCCCAGUGGAAAAUUCACCCAUGCAGAUGAUCAACUGUGAAAAUCUGUGUGCAAGUUUGUGGGCCAUCAUCAAAUUUAGCAUCUACGGCUAAAUGUUUCCGAUGCAACAAUUUCAUCUCAAGGCCCGUAUUAACUGAAAAUUGCUCCGGGGGAAUUAAAAGCUGACAUCUGCAAAGAAUUGUUAUCCAACACCUGCCUCUCCAAUUAAGAAUACUGACCUUUUGAAGUUUUAAGGAAGGAUAGUUUUUAAAUUUGUUUCUCUUCAGUUACUUUAAAAUCAAUCUUUCCAUCGUCCUUGGACCUUGAACCCUAAAUCACAGAGUGCACUCUUUCAAUUUAAUCACGCGGCGAUGAAUUAAGUAGCAAGGAGGGGCUGUCAGAACUAGCUUACAAAGGAAGGCCUGGGGGUGUCGUAGAGGAGGGAAAAAGCAGACUUCUGAGGGUUGUGGUCCUCUGCCAGAUUGCCAUUUUCCUGUACAGUUUCCUUUUAACAGAGAACUAAGACUGCUUCAUGCCUGUAUUUCUCAGGGGGUUCUGGGAGUUGGAACAGGCCAAAUUUUCCUACCUGCAGCUUGAAGAUUAAGGACUUAGAGACUUCUUCAGAGGCUGCUUCUCCCAAGUUACUGAUAGACUGAGGACAGGAACUACUGAUUCUUUGAAUGAAAAAAAAGAAAAAACCAAAAAAACUGGCCCAGUUUGGGGUCAUCCUGCCCCUUAAAUGGAAGCUGUCCACCAUGACAUGGUGGGAUAUUUAUGGAAGACAUUGGACAUCUUGCAGGAAAUGGUGGAGUGGUGUCACGUUUGCAUCAUCCCUUCUGUAAAACACACCGAAACAAAGACCCACCUAAAGACGUGGAAACGCGCGAGGGCCAUUUCUCUUUGCCAGACGUAAGCAAAUUCUGUCCAACCUUCAGCCAAGUUUGCCAAGAGGAGUCAUUUUGGUUGUGAGUUCCGUCUUUUCCUGUUAGCUUUUCACUGACAACUGCAGGGUUGUCAACUACUGGGACUUGAUAGAAACCCUGUGACUUCCCACAUGUCGAGUGAACAGUCCAGCAAUAAAUAGGAGGCAACAUAAAAACCUGAGGUGAAA
rnacentral:lncRNA from 1 species